GUUCUUAAAGUUUGACCUCCCGAAACUAAGCGAGCUACUCCAAAGCAGCUUCAAAGAGCCAACCCAUCCCUGUAGCAAAAGAGUGGGAAGACUUUAGAGUAGAGGUGACACACCUACCGAGCUUAGAAAUAGCUGGUUAUUCAAGAAAAGGAUUUUAGUCCACCUUUAAGUUUCUAAAGUACCCACAAACAUCUUAUAAACUUAAAAGUUAUUCAAAUAAGGUACAGCCUAUUUGAAAAAGGAAACAGCCUAUGACACAGGGUAAUGACUUAUUCAUGUGACCAAGUCGGCCUAAAAGCAGCCAACUUCCAAAAAGCGUCCAAGCUUUAUCACAAACUGUCAUCAAUUCUACACUCAACUCAUAACCCGCAACUACUAUUGAAUGACCCCAUACCGUAUGGGAAUCAUAAUGCUAGAACUAGUAACAAGAAGAAGAACUUCUCCAAAAUGUAAGCGUAAGCCAAAAUGAACUACUCACCGGCAUUUACCACACAUCUACAGUAUUAACACUACAAGAAAACUAUACUCUAAUUAGCGUUAACCUUACACUAGAACAUUCCUGGAAAGAUAAAAAGAGGGGGAAGGAACUCGGC
rnacentral:rRNA from 1 species